rnacentral:rRNA from 1 species
AUUGAACGCUGGCGGCAUGCCUUACACAUGCAAGUCGAACGGUAACAGGUCUUCGGAUGCUGACGAGUGGCGAACGGGUGAGUAAUACAUCGGAACGUGCCCGAGAGUGGGGGAUAAUGAGGCGAAAGCUUUGCUAAUACCGCAUACGAUCUCAGGAUGAAAGCAGGGGACCGCAAGGCCUUGCGCUCACGGAGCGGCCGAUGGCAGAUUAGGUAGUUGGUGGGAUAAAAGCUUACCGAGCCGACGAUCUGUAGCUGGUCUGAGAGGACGACCAGCCACACUGGGACUGAGACACGGCCCAGACUCCUACGGGAGGCAGCAGUGGGGAAUUUUGGACAAUGGGCGCAAGCCUGAUCCAGCCAUGCCGCGUGCAGGAUGAAGGCCUUCGGGUUGUAAACUGCUUUUGUACGGAACGAAAAGACUCUGGUUAAUACCUGGGGUCCAUGACGGUACCGUAAGAAUAAGCACCGGCUAACUACGUGCCAGCAGCCGCAGUAAAAC